rnacentral:rRNA from 1 species
UACGGAGGGUGCAAGCGUUAUCCGGAUUCACUGGGUUUAAAGGGUGCGUAGGCGGGCAGGUAAGUCAGUGGUGAAAUCUCCGGGCUUAACCGAACGUACCUUGAUCAUGAUCUCUGUCUUGAAUACUGGUAGAGUGAGCGGAAUAUGUCAUGUAGCGGUGAAAUGCUUAGAGAUGACAUAGAACACCAAUUGCGAAGGCAGCUUCUACGCUAAUAUUGACUGAGGGCACGAAAGCGUGGGGAGCAAACAGG